rnacentral:rRNA from 1 species
GUUCACAACCACCCCGAUGCGGUCGUGACCGGCAGCUACUUCCACUGGUCCGCCGAUGCUGCCGCGGAGCACGGUGUCCCACGCCUCACCUUCCUCGAUAGCAGCAUGUCCGCGCGUUCCUGCAGCGGGAGCAUGAUGCGACUGCACAACAGCCCAUUGGCGACUGUCCCCGAUGAUCCUGACGCGCUCGUUUCCCUGUCGGGGCUACCGCACCGUGCCAAAAUGGACCAUGUGAAGCAGGCGGACCACGGGGCAUUCUUCCAGAGCAUGAACGCCGCGGACCAGAGGAGCUUCGGCGAGGUUUUUAAUAGCUUCCAUGAACUGGAGCUGGACUACGUCGAGCACUACCACAUGACCCUUGGCCGGCGCGCGUGGCUCGUCGGGCCGGUAGCACUCGCCAGAGAGGACAUGGCUGGGAGAGGCACCGACGCGCUCUCACCGGAUUCAGACAACUGCCUUGGGUGGCUGAACACGAAGCCUGCCGGCUCGGUGGUGUACGUCUCCUUCGGCACGCUGAUCAGGUUCUCGCCGGCGGAGCUGCACCAGCUCGCCCGCGGCCUCGAUCUCUCAGGCAGAAAUUUCAUGUGGGUGACCGGCGCCGUAGGCGCAGACCCUUUAGAGUGGAUGCGUGAAGGCUUCGCCGAGCUGAUGGCACGCGGCGACCGCGGGUUCAUCAUCCGAGGAUGGGCGCCACAUCUGCUCAUCCUGAACCACCCUAGCGUUGGUGGGUUCAUGACGCACUGUGGUUGGAACUCGACACUUGAGGCCGUGAGCGCCGGUGUGCCGAUGGUCACGUGGCCACGGUAUGCAGAUCAGUUCAGUAACGAGAAGUUGAUUGUGGAAGUGUCCAAGGUGGGUGUCGGUAUCAAAACUAGCUGA